UACGUAGGGGGCAAGCGUUGUCCGGAUUUAUUGGGCGUAAAGAGCGUGUAGGCGGCUAUGCAGGUCCGCUGUGAAAACUCGAGGCUCAACCUCGAGACGUCGGUGGAAACCGCAUGGCUAGAGUCCGGAAGAGGAGAGUGGAAUUCCCGGUGUAGCGGUGAAAUGCGCAGAUAUCAGGAAGAACACCCGUGGCGAAGGCGGCUCUCUGGGACGGUACUGACGCUGAGACGCGAAAGCGUGGGAAGCGAACAGG
rnacentral:rRNA from 1 species